GUAAAAGUCGUAACAAGGUCUCCGUUGGUGAACCAGCGGAGGGAUCAUUCU
rnacentral:rRNA from 1 species